AAAUUGAAGAGUUUGAUCAUGGCUCAGAUUGAACGCUGGCGGCAGGCCUAACACAUGCAAGUCGAACGGUAACAGGAAGCAGCUUGCUGCUUCGCUGACGAGUGGCGGACGGGUGAGUAAUGUCUGGGAAACUGCCUGAUGGAGGGGGAUAACUACUGGAAACGGUGGCUAAUACCGCAUAACGUCGCAAGACCAAAGAGGGGGACCUUCGGGCCUCUUGCCAUCAGAUGUGCCCAGAUGGGAUUAGCUUGUUGGUGAGGUAACGGCUCACCAAGGCGACGAUCCCUAGCUGGUCUGAGAGGAUGACCAGCCACACUGGAACUGAGACACGGUCCAGACUCCUACGGGAGGCAGCAGUGGGGAAUAUUGCACAAUGGGCGCAAGCCUGAUGCAGCCAUGCCGCGUGUAUGAAGAAGGCCUUCGGGUUGUAAAGUACUUUCAGCGGGGAGGAAGGUGUUGUGGUUAAUAACCGCAGCAAUUGACGUUACCCGCAGAAGAAGCACCGGCUAACUCCGUGCCAGCAGCCGCGGUAAUACGGAGGGUGCAAGCGUUAAUCGGAAUUACUGGGCGUAAAGCGCACGCAGGCGGUCUGUCAAGUCGGAUGUGAAAUCCCCGGGCUCAACCUGGGAACUGCAUUC
rnacentral:rRNA from 1 species